rnacentral:rRNA from 1 species
CUUUGGGAUAACCCUCGGAAACGGGGGCUAAUACCGGAUAUGACCUUGCUCCGCAUGGGGUUUGGUGGAAAGUUUUUCGGCCUGGGAUGGGCUCGCGGCCUAUCAGCUUGUUGGUGGGGUGAUGGCCUACCAAGGCGACGACGGGUAGCCGGCCUGAGAGGGCGACCGGCCACACUGGGACUGAGACACGGCCCAGACUCCUACGGGAGGCAGCAGUGGGGAAUAUUGCACAAUGGGCGGAAGCCUGACGCAGCGACGCCGCGUGAGGGAUGACGGCCUUCGGGUUGUAAACCUCUUUCAGCAGGGACGAAGCGCAAGUGACGGUACCUGCAGAAGAAGCACCGGCCAACUACGUGCCAGCAGCCGCGGUAAGACGUAGGGUGCGAGCGUUGUCCGGAUUUAUUGGGCGUAAAGAGCUCGUAGGCGGCUUGUCGCGUCGACCGUGAAAACUUGGGGCUCAACCCCAAGCCUGCGGUCGAUACGGGCAGGCUAGAGUUCGGUAGGGGAGACUGGAAUUCCUGGUGUAGCGGUGAAAUGCGCAGAUAUCAGGAGGAACACCGGUGGCGAAGGCGGGUCUCUGGGCCGAUACUGACGCUGAGGAGCGAAAGCGUGGGGAGCGAACAGGAUUAGAUACCCUGGUAGUCCACGCUGUAAACGUUGGGCGC